rnacentral:tRNA from 1 species
UGUUUUGUGGCUUAGUUGGUUAAUGCGCUGGACUAGCAAUACGGAGUAGUGGGCCCCAAUCCCACUAAAAUAA